GCGGAGUUGGCGGAGCGGUAACGCGCUGGACUCGAGAUCCAGUGACCUUCGUGGUCGCAAGGGUUCAAAUCCCUUACUCCGCGCCA
rnacentral:tRNA from 1 species